rnacentral:lncRNA from 1 species
ACAACAAGUAAGUGGCAUAAAUUUUCUUAUGGUGGUUGUGUGUAAUGGGUUCCAGUCACCUGUGCUGAGAUGAUCAAUACACUUUCUGAUAAUGUAUUGGGUAUAUCCAAUUUCAGAUUCGCUUGGAGAAUCCCUCAUACCCUUCAAUUAGGGUUGCUCUGCGGAUGCCAUCGUUAGCUUUUUACUUUUCACCUGCUCGUUACCAUAGAUUAAUGCAAG